GGGCGGUUAGCUCAGCGGGAGAGCGCUUCCCUGACACGGAAGAGGUCACUGGUUCAAUCCCAGUACCGCCCACCA
rnacentral:tRNA from 3 species